UCUUAAAUCUUUUGUAGAAGCUUUAAUGCUCUGCACCACCGCCAAAGUUUUAUUUAUCGUGUCCCCUGUAUGUUGUUAUUGGAUUGCAGGAACUCUGCUACAUCUUUUUUUGUCUACUAAAGCUUCCGAAAAAUGGAGAAUACAUCAAAAAUCUGUAGAAGACAGAAAUCGAGUUAAUCUACGGGAAGCCAUCAAGUGGGUUCUUUUUCAACAUGUCCUUCAAAUGUUUCUAGCUUAUAUCGCUUUUGAUGAGCCUUUUAUGGAAGAGCCUGAACACAUUUUUAUUCACAUUGUUAAGUUUAUUUCUGCAAUGAUCCUCUUAGACACUUACCAGUAUUGGUUUCAUCGUUGGGCCCAUACUAAUAAAUUUCUUUAUAAUAACUUUCACUCUUGGCAUCACCGACUUUACUGUCCGUACCCUCUCGGAGCUCUUUACAAUCAUCCCCUUGAAGGCAUUUUUAUGGACACGCUCGGCGGAGUCGUGGCAAUCCAACUUUCGGGAAUGCACCAAUCAACAGCUCUUUUGUUUGCAUGCUUUUCUACUUUGAAGACACUUUUUGAUCACUGUAAUUUGGUCUUCCCAGCCAAUCCCUUUGCAGUAUUUAAAAAUAAUUCGCUCUAUCACGACUUCCACCACCAGCCAAUCGGUUUAAACUACAACUUAUCACAACCAUUUUUUACUUUCUGGGAUGAUGUUAUGGGGACUAAAUGGACUCCUCCACUCAUUGAAAAAUUUAAUAGUUCAAGAGAAAAAGAAAAAAUAAAAAUUUCCUAAAGCACUUGUUGAUAUUACUUUAUUGCGUUCUUUUGUAAAU